AAUCCGUGUUGUGGGCAUGAGCUGACAAGAUUCUUAAACUGCUCCCAACAUUGGAAGAAUGUUUCACCCUCCUUUUGGACGAAGUUCAUCAUUGGCUUUCUGAGGGU